UACUACUUCAGCCGGUGAUCUCCGUCCAGCCGGCGCCAGUUCGUCGUUUACAACUACCCCUUAACCGUCCGUCACUCUGCCUACCUGUUGCCGAACCCUCGCCUGCCUGACUACCGCUUGCUUCGCCCCAGCUUGUGAUCUACCCCGUGUCCCAAUAAACCCAGUUUACUUUUA